rnacentral:rRNA from 1 species
GCAGCACGCGGGCAACCUGGUGGCGAGUGGCGAACGGGUGAGUAACAUAUCGGAACAUGUCCGGAAGUGGGGGAUAACGUACCGAAAGGUACGCUAAUACCGCAUAUGCCCUGAGGGGGAAAGGGGGGGAUCGCAAGACCUCUCGCUUUCGGAGUGGCCGAUAUCGGAUUAGCUAGAUGGUGAGGUAAAGGCUCACCAUGGCGACGAUCCGUAGCUGGUCUGAGAGGACGACCAGCCACACUGGAACUGAGACACGGUCCAGACUCCUACGGGAGGCAGCAGUGGGGAAUUUUGGACAAUGGGGGAAACCCUGAUCCAGCCAUACCGCGUGAGUGAAGAAGGCCUUCGGGUUGUAAAGCUUUUUCGGACAGAAAGAAAUCGUGCAGAUUAAUACUCUGUAUGGAUGACGGUACUGUAAGAAGAAGCACCGGCUAACUACGUGCCAGCAGCCGCGGUAAUACGUAGGGUGCGAGCGUUAAUCGGAAUUACUGGGCGUAAAGCGUGCGCAGGCGGUUUUGUAAGACAGGUGUGAAAUUCCUGGGCUUAACCUGGGAACUGCAUUUGUGACUGCAAGGCUAGAGUGUAGCAGAGGGGGGUAGAAUUCUACGUGUAGCAGUGAAAUGCGUAGAGAUGUGGAGGAAUACCGAUGGCGAAGGCAGCUCCUCUGGGUUAACACUGACGCUCAUGCACGAAAGUGUGGGGAGCAAACAGGAUUAGAUACCUCUGGUAGUCUACGCCCUAAAUGAUGUGAACUGGAUGUUGGGUGC